AAGACUGUAGAGAGAGAGAGAGAGAGAGAGAGAGAGAGAGAGAGAGAGAGAGAGAGAGAGAGAGAGAGAGAGAGAGAGAGAGAGAGAGAGAGAGAGAGAGAGAGAGAGAGAGAGAGAGAGAGAGAGAGAGAGAGAGAGAGAGAGAGAGAGAGAUUGUGAUUGGUCAGAAGGUGUUGAUUAAUUUUCUAUAAAAGCAGUCCUGACAGUAGCGCAGCUGUACAUCACAGGUUUAUAUUAACACGCUCGUUUUCUGUAAAGAGAUGCUUCUGUAACGUUUAUGGAAGGAGUCUCCAGUGUCAGCGCUUUGUAACAGUCCGAGGUGCACAUGCAUGUGUCACAUCAUGUCAUGAUCAGAGGCAGAAACACAGCUCACACAUGUGCACUCUGUAGGGGUUAACAAGCAGACGAGUGAUGUUGGAACGCUGACCGCUGAGGGACUGAUGGGUCUGAAACUUUGACGUGGAGUGUAAAAGGUCAAAAACAUGUUUGAGCCAAAGAUGUUGCGGAAAGGCAAGGAGUUGAAAACGACACACACUCAGGGAGGAGAAACCACAUGGUGAUGGCAGCACUGGAGUGUCCUCGUUCACCCGGAUUCAGCAGCGCUGUUUCUGAACAGAUAUUUUUAUCAUAAUUUCGUCCUUCUACAUGUAUAAACACACACACACACACACACACACACACACACACACACACACACACACACAGGUCAGCUGAUAUAAAUGGUGCGGUGGCUGACGUUCCUGUGGGCUGAACAGAAAUCAGACAACAUUUCCUCCUGAAUUCCACAGAAAGUUCACGGGGAUGUGGAGGUUACUGCUAUUUGUCAAAACAUGCCUUUGGUACACCGCUAAGUGCUCGAGCUCAAAUCACUGAGAAAAAAAACUCUGUGGACUUUUUCUAACGCUCAGGACAUCAUGUGAAUACAUUUCUUUUUUGAAAAAAGAGGCAUCAAAUAAAAGUCAUUAAUAAAGUGUUUAUUAAAAUCUUCCUGGUUCCUUGAGAUGUUCGAAUCCUUCACUAGCAGCUGUUUUUUUUUUUUUUACUGUGUAUUCAUUCAGAGUUGAUAAUAAACACACACACACACUUUAAACAUGACUGAGUAUUGAAGAAAAUGAAAAGUGCUGAUUAAAAGGUUCCUGGUGUUUUAUGUUUAAUGGUACAGAGGUCAGGGUUUGGGUCAGAAAUCCACAGAAAUGUGCGUUAUCGUAACUCUCACGCUGGAAAUAACUCGUGUGUUUCCGUGAAUAACAGGUUCAAGGCCGUGUGCUGCGUCUGCUGGAUAAUUCAUUAAAAUGAUUUGUGAUGUUCAGGGAGGACACGCUUCAUCGUCUGCGGAUAACGCAGAUAAAAGCAUGAACACAAACAGAGAGAUUAUUCAGCACAGAUAUUACGGCAUGUUAUCGAGCGUGUUAGCGUUCGCAUCGUGUCUGAAGGGCUCAUGCACUUCUUACGCCAUUACUAACAUUCCUGCCCUGAUGAGAACAUAAGCCGUGUUCACGCCGUGCCGUAAUUACCGUAAUUACGAGAUUCCGACUUGUAUAAAGCGUCCACAU